UGGCUUAGAGGUUAAAGCGUCUGCCUGUAAUGCGGGAGACCUGGGUUCGAUCCCUG
rnacentral:tRNA from 1 species